rnacentral:lncRNA from 1 species
AUGGAGGCAGAACAGGCACUGCAGGAACAAAGAGAAAUGCUGUCAGAACACAAUCAACAACAGGAAGGGGCAGUGAGGAAAAAGGAAGCAGAGCUGAAGCAAACAAUGGAGAUCCCCAAAGAGUUCUGGCCAUCUCCUGAAAAGCCCAUAAGAGAAGUCACGAAAGAUAUGCAGAGACAACUAAACCUCAUGGAAGGGGCCUUUUUUCACAGGAAAAUUCUUUCAGAUAGAGAACUGGUGAGACAUGCAUCUGGAGGACUAGCCCUACAGGGAAUUUACAAAACCAGUGACCAAAAGUGUCUUAUAGAGAAGAAAGAAGAGCUACUCUGUGUCCCCAAGGAGUUUGUACUCCGUGGCCCUAUUCAGGGUACACGGACAGAAAAGAAGGAAUUUGCAUCUUCUCAAGAAGAAUCCAUGUUCACUCAGACUGUAGAGAAGCUGGGCUUCUCUGCCUUAGCAAAGGGUGGAGGUUGGGGAAUUAGCCUGGAAGCUGGUAUGGAUCCAAGCAUGCAUUCCGAAUUCAAGAAAAUACAACAGUCACAAUCUACACACUCUUAUUUCUGCUCAACCAAGUUCAUCUAUAUCCCACUGGCCUCCUGCAUCUUUCCCAUUGACCAGCUCCAACUUUCCAAUGCUGCUCUCCAGGAUUUAAAAGACAUUGAAGACCUUUUGGGUCAGUCAGAAGACCCAGAGAAACUACUCUUGCUGAGGCAAAGGACUGAAGCCUUCUUCCAGAGGUUUGGGUCUCAUGCUGAUCAGGGUCCUCUGCACCUGGGGGGAAUCUACUGGUGGAAAGCCAUUUCAGAGGGUUUCCAAAAGGAACGGCUGGCUGAAGUGAAACAGCAAGCAGCAGAGGCCCUGGAUAUUUACAUGAGGGGCAGUUACAGUGGCUUUGGCAUGAACAUAGCUACAGGUGGGGAUAUAUCAGACCCUCAUUCGAAAAAAGCCUCUCAGAGAACAAACUUCCAAAAUCUCCAAACCAAAGUCCAGUUAUCUGUGGCCCAGACAGGUGGCCCACCAGAAGCAAAUGGCUUUUUUGACUGGAAAGCUGGUCUAGUUGCCAAUAAUCAAACCUGGUAUGUCAUUGACCGUGGACUUCAGCUGGUACCUGUUUGGGACAUUGUCCUCUAUGGCCACAGAGAUGAUUUUAAGGAUCCUCGUAAAGUAGCUAACUGCCUGAAAGACAACUAUACUGUUCUGACUGAACUCACUGCCCAGAUCCAGGAGGGAAACAAAUUCUUGAGUAUUGAGGAGGCUAGGAUUUUCCUAGAGGAUGUGAAAUCCUGGGAUGUUUUUGAUCCUGAAGGACAGCUUAAAAGGCUGAUAAAUUUCAUGCAAAGAUUGAGUCAAAAAACUGAAAGUUAUACCAUUUGGACUAAUAUAUGCCUCAAAGACAGGGGACUGCAGAAUUUUCUGGUAAACAUGGUCGACUUUUGCAAAAAAGCUUCCAUUUUUGAAACUAAAUUUAUUAAAUCUCAGUUGAGCCAUCUUUUAGUUCCUCACAUCCAUACACUAACAAACUUUCCUCAGGCUCAUUCCAUUAUGCAGUGGAUAUUUCAGUCAGAACCAAAGGAAGACAAUAUCCAUAUCACCAAAUUUUCUGAAUUAAUUGAAAUGUUCCAAAAAACACAGAAUGAACUUAUGGAAGUAAAGACCAACACUGAAUCCACAGAGUUGGUGGAGGAAGCUCAAAGAAAGCUGACUUAUGAGGUCAGCUUGUCUCUUGGCUGCUUCUUGAAAUACCUCCGAGAAACAGGGAAACUGGACACAUACAUCUUGCUACUAUUUAUUGCAGCUGGUGCAGGAUAUCAUGUGGUUGACAAUAUAUUUCAAUAUCUCCUGGGGCAUGAUGAGUUACACUUCCUAUUGGAUAAAAUGCAAACUGCACAAAAUAAAUACCAAGAGCUCAAAAAUAUUUGCAACUACAGGGCUCAGGCAUUCCUUGUGCUCACAGGUCUGACAGCAACAACGGGCAUGAAAGCUGUUUCUCCAGAGGAGAAAACACAAUGCUUGGCAUUGAUCAAGCAUCACAUGGGACGAUCUUUGAAUAAAGAAGUUGUAUAUGUCCUCACCAAAGCUGGAGAUCAUGAUUGGGAAAACCUAGAAAAAGACUUGAGACUGCUCAUUGAUGGGAAUUAUGAAGCUACUGUCUCUUCAUUGCAAGAGGACGAGGUGAUAAAAGAAUUGCAAAGUGUCUUCCAUGAAAAGAAAGAGCCCCAUGAACCACACGAUAAUGAAAAGAAAAAGGAGGAAGUCACAGAAAAUGGAGCCUUCCAAGACUUACUCCAGCGUCUAGGCCUAGAACAUUACUACCCAAGGAAAAUGAGCAGAGCUAACUUCCAUCUGAUCCACAAGACUUCUGUGUACAACACCCAGCCCUGCUCUGAAAGACAACUUCCCUUCUACUUCCUACAGAAGCUAUUGAUGCUGGAUUAUGGGCUGAGAUACCUGAUCAUCAAACAUGAAGAAUAUACAGAGAACCAAGUCUAUUCAAGCACCUUGAAUCAAGAAAGGGAGGCUUUUGAUCCAUAUGAAGAUCUACCUGAAGAAAGUGUUCAUCCUACUAAGCCUUCAGCAGCCACUAAUGUCAGACCCUAUGUUCACCCUAUGGAUAUUCAGAUGGCAAUUCUUCACUGUGCAGAUGAUUUUGCCAGACAGUAUAUUUUGGACAAACUUGCCAUUUGUCAGUUUGCCCUCCCCCUUCUCAUACCUAAUCCUUGCAAUGGUCAAAUUGAAUUCUCUCUCUGGUCUCUCAGACAAAUUCGAAGGAGCUGGCAGCAAGUAGGGAAAUCACUAAAAGAGAAGAACAAUUACAUGAAUCAACAGAUGUGUUGUUUCUCUGCCCCCAUUGUGUCCUUUAUUAGAGUUGGAACUGGCUUCUCUGCCUCCAAAUCUCAGAUCAUGAACUGUCUUCUCAGUGAACGCAAACAUGAUGUCUUCUUUCACCGACAUUGCAAAGGCAGCAGCAGAGACUGUCUCUUGAUGGGAGGAGUGGUGGAAGUCGCCUGGUUCUGUCCUGGGGGGGAAGAGCAGGACAGAUUUGACAACUGCUUGACCUUUACCAAUCUUCACGGAGAUGCAAAGGAACAUGAGAAGCAACUCGCCUUUUUGCAGGAAGUCUCUUCCAUAAUUAUGGUCCUCAUGUCAACUUCUGAUGACAAUAAAGGAAACCGAACAAUAGUCCAUGAUAUGUGUCAGUCAUCAAAACCUUUAAUCCUUUUGCUUGAUGAUAAAGGAAAAAUCACAGUCAAUAAAUCUAGCUCAAGAGUGAGAAUUGGAAUCAGGAACAGAAAUGAGGCAGAAUUAAUAGAGGAGCUAACAACUGCAAUCAGACAUUUGCUGGAGCUCUCUAACACUGCACUCAGCUUGGAGCACUGUGCCCACAUUGCUCGCAAGCAAGGACUGCUUAUUGAUGAAGACCAGAGAGAUUGCAAGGAAGCCAAAGAAAAGGCAGAGGCUCUAAUGACCCUACUGAGAGAAAUGGAAAUACCUCAGGUCAAGGAAAACUUACUACCUCUUCAGGGAAAACUCUGGCAGCUUUGGUGUAAAAAGGACAAAGAACUCUAUCACCUGAGAGAAAAGGGGAAUCGCAGUAUUGAACAACACAAAAGUGAGACUGAGACAGAAAAAAAAGAGAUAAGACAUGAACAGUUUAGAAAAGCCUUCCCUCUCAAUGAUUUGAUGCAUGUUGUCCUUGAAAUUCUCCAAAAUCAUUCAGAAACUCACACCAAACUCUACUUCCUCCAAUGGCUGAAUGUAGCUUUGGGCAACCUGACUGCAGGACACUUGGAAAAUCUAAAUGAGAAGAAAAAGGCAUUGGUUCAAAAAGAAAAGCAAGAGGCCACAAAGAGUAGCUCUCUGAAAGACUGCCAACAUGAGAUAGAAGCUAUUUCCAGAGAGAUUAAUGACUGUACCUUGGGAAUUGAGCACAUUCUCAGAGAAGUGGGUCAGAUCUAUGAAGCUCUAGAUGAAGCUUCCCCCAUGAAAGAUACGCUAUUUCUCUCCCUUCCCCACAUUGCUGCAGAUCUGAUGAUAUCUGGUGUUCCCAUUGAGCUGAUGGAUGGGGAUGUUUCAUAUGUGCCCCUGAGGUGGGUGGCAGCUGUUUUUGACAAGCUCUCUGAGAAACUUGGAAACAAGCGGCUCUUUGUUCUCUCUGUCCUUGGCCUGCAGAGUUCAGGGAAGUCCACCCUGCUGAAUGCCCUUUUUGGGCUGCAGUUCACUGUCAGUGCUGGGAGGUGUACCCGGGGGGCCUACAUGCAGCUUCUGAAAGUGGAGGACACAUUCACAGCUGAACUAGGCUUUGACUUUGUGCUUGUUGUGGACACAGAGGGACUUCGAGCCCCAGAACUCAGCAACAAGUCCCAGAAUCAUGACAAUGAGUUGGCAACCUUUGUCAUCGGACUUGGAAACUUGACGCUGAUCAAUAUUUUUGGGGAAAAUCCAUCAGAAAUACAAGAUAUUCUACAAAUAGUUGUCCAAGCUUUUCUGAGAAUGAAACAAGUAAAAAUCUCUCCCAGUUGCCUGUUUGUCCAUCAGAAUGUGGGGGAAGUUACAGCUAAAGACCAAAAUAUGGAAGGAAGAAGGAGGUUUGAGGAGAAAUUGGAUAAAACGGCAGCAAUAGCAGCUGAAGAAGAGCAGUGCUCUGAUGUAACCUGCUUUAGUGAUGUCAUUAAGUUUAACGCCAACACCCACGUCUACUACUUUGCUCACCUCUGGGAUGGCAAUCCCCCUAUGUCCCCACCCAAUCCUCGCUACAGCCACAAUGUUCAGGAACUCAAAAGCCAAAUUCUUGUGACUGCCCAACAGGAAUCUAGGGGAAGCAUCAUGAAGAUAUCAGAUGUAAAAUUCCGAGUUCAAGAUUUGUGGAGAGCCCUACUGAAUGAGAACUUUAUCUUCAGCUUCAGGAACACUCAAGAAGUCAUGGCCAUGAGCAAACUGGAAACCAUGUAUAACUCCUGGACAUGGGAGCUGAGGAGUCAUGUGCAGAGAUUACAGGACCAGCUGCUCAACCAGAUUCAGAAUGGAAAACUCCAGACACUCAAAAUAUAUACCUUUGAGGCUCAAGUUACAGAGAUUUAUGAACCCAUCAAGCAAAAACUUGAAAAAUAUUUUAAUGAAGACCCGGAAAGUGAAGUACUGGUUCAGUGGAAAGGAAAUUUUGAAAAUAAACUCAUAACCCUUAAAGAGGCACUAAUUUUAGAUGUCCAAAGAAAAGCCAAAGAACUUUUUAGUUUUAAAAAAAGUCAAGAAAAACUGGAUAACAAAAAGUCAGGUUAUGAAAAGGAAUUAUUGGGAAAAAGCCAGAAUUUGGCUUUAUUGCUGAAUGACACCGAAUUGAGCGAGGAAGAGCUCCAUGAGAAAUUCAGCCCACUUUGGGAAAAAUGGGUCUCUGAUGUGUCCUCAAGUCUCCCCCCAGCAGUAGAGCCGGAAAUUGAAGCAGAUUCUGAAAACACGCUUUUAGAGUAUUUCAAAAAGGAAAAAGACAUCAGAAGCCUACUGGAGAACUAUUCUGGAGAAAAGUUUGAAAUCAACUAUGACAAACAUGUUAAAAUGAACAGGAAACCUUUUAUACUCUUUACAAUGACAAUAGAGCCCCAAGAUAUACACUCCAUAAAUAUGACUACUGACUGCAUCAUUUCAAAAGUUAAUGAAACUGUUAACAAAAUAUCUCAACGAAAGCAUGAUUACAAUCCAACUUACUUCCAUGAAAUCCUGAGAAUAAUAGAAGAGGAGGUGAAGUCUGCAACCACUCAGAAAAGAUACAUAUUUACAAGAAAAUAUGAAAUAGACUUAUCAUUGUGUUUAUUCCAAAGAGCAUCAGUGAAGUUUAAGGAGAUGCAUGAGGCAUUCAUAAAGGCAAAUGAUCCUGUAAAUUAUCUGCAAAGCAAGAAAGAUGAUUUCUUCAUGAGCUUUAAGAUCUCUUGUCAAGGAGCAACUUCAAUUAAAACAUUUAUUGAUUUUCUGUGGAAGAAACUCACACCUGCUGUCUCCAGCACCAUAAAGAAAAACAUGGUCCUCAAAAUUGCUGGGGACAUUCGAACCACCUGCCGGGCAUUCAAUGAAAACAGAGCUAACCUGGAGAAACACAUUCUCAUCUCUCUGGCAGAAGAGGAAAAUUUUGAUGACUACUGGCAGUACCUUCAUAAUCCAGAAUCAUUUUUUGAGAAUUACAUUGAAAACCAUGUUAAAAGAUAUUUUUCUGACACAGGAAGUGAAAAAAUAAAGACUUUUCUACAAAUCAGUUUAGAUGACAUCAAGAAUGCCAUCCUCUCAGCUGUACAUGCAUCUACAGCAAUAGCUAAAGAUAAAAGCAGCACAGUGUCUGGGUGGUUAGAUUUGUUCUGUGAUCAGCUGGGGAGUACCUUGGUCUUUCCACGAAAAGACUUGAUAAGCAUUGAACACCAGGAGAUAAAAGAUACUGAGUUUAUCAAAGAGGCCAUGAGUAAAGCUUUGGAUCCUGAAAUGAAGAAGGUAGAACAGAACUAUUUGUCUGAACCUGUAGAAGAAAUGAUUCCUGAAAUCCAGAAAAUGCUCUCUGAACAUCUCUGUGGCUGCUGGAAACAGUGCCCCUUCUGUAAAGCAAUUUGUACAAAUACAAUCCCUGCCCAUGAUGGAGACCACAGUGUUCCCUUCCAUCGUCCACAGGCUCUCGGUGGAUGGAGGUGGCAUCAAACAGACCAUUUUGUCAUUGAUUACUGUACUAGUCUGGUAGCAAGUGAUUUGAAGUUUAUUUUGAAUGAUGACAGGAGAAUCCCAUACAAGACCUAUCGAGAAGCAGGAGGGGAAUAUGCCACAUGGAGCAUCACCCCAGACACAUCCACCCAGCCAUACUGGAAAUGGUUUGUCUGUCACUUCAGAUCAAAGCUAGAAGAAAAAUAUCACCAAAGAUUUAUCAAUAAAGGUGAAAUUCCUGAUGCCUGGAAGAAAAUCACAAAGCAGGAGGUGCUUGAUGACUUGAAAAAACAUUAA